AUGCCUCUGGACUUAUUACAACUCCCAGAAAGCCUGAGGGCAGAGAGGCUUCAAGCAAGCUCCUCCCCACGCAAAAGCUCUCCAAAGGCACAAGGCUCCACAGGGACACAGCCAUUGAAAGGCAGGACCGAGACAGACCACAAAGGGAAGGAAGCCUUCUCACACACUGCUGGCAGCCAAUCAGAGAACACCAGAAAGAGAUCGCACCAGUCUGAUGCUGAAAGUGGUCCUCCUGAGGUGAGGAGGCAGAUGGAGGUGUUCCGGCAGAGAGAGGACAGCCCAUGUACCUCCUCAGAUCAAGCCAGUGACAGCGAGGUGGAAGAGGACGAUGAGAGGGAGAGCGAGUGGGACCACAACCCCACCAGCAAACGGGUGAAGAGCGAAGAGGGGCAGUUGAAACAAGGCAACGGGGCCAAUGGAGCAAGUAAGAUCCACAACGGUCGUGCAGUGAUCCAGCAUCUUAAGAGUGUGGCGACCAGUUCCGGGUCGAAUAUUAAGACUGAACAAGAAGUAAUGGGAACAAGUGUAGGUGUGGGUUCUGAGAGGCGUUGGAGCCAAGCUCAGCCCAGCAGUGGAGGAACCAAUGGCAGCAGUCCACCUUCCCAACCUCAAAACUCCACCCCGACAGAAAAUCCAUCUAAGGGUCUGUUCAACCCACCCUCCCCGACCCUGUCUCCGCCCAUUCUGGCCUCAUCCCUGCCCAGAGAUGAUCGGUCCAUCCACGGAGGGCGUGCUCCAGACUUCGAACUGCUGCAGAGACUGACUGCUAGUGGGGCUGCAGGACAUGUGCUAUUUCAUCCCCUGGCUCUCGGCCCACAGGGGCCUCAGAGUCUCUAUGCUCCCAGCACUAUUCGCUACGCCCCACCUGAGAUGCCUAUAGCUCACACUGAAGGGCACCGCUCAGACCAUGCGGCCAAAACUCCCGCUUUCUUUCCCCACUUGCAAAGGAUUGCCUCUCUGCCUCCCUUCAGUGGUUUUUCUCCAGCUGAACACACUUUUCCUCCAACUCUGCCCUUCUGUAUGAACGGACUGAGGGGAGCAGCAGGGACAGAUAAGGAUUGAAGGACAAAGACAGAUAAAAAUAUAAAGGGGAGGUGGAAGAGGUCAUAAAGGACAGGGUACAACGUUGAGAGAGGAACUGCAGAAGAACUUGGGGUUUUUCAAACAGUCUUCCGAGCAUCCUCUCCAGACUUUUCUCUGUUAAUUUGUUAGUGUGUCUUCCUCUCUCUGGACAAGCAGUCAAAGCCAUAAUGAACAUAUGAAGGACAUCAUGCAACUUACACCAAGGGGCCAUCAUUGAGGCCUAAAUCACUGGAAAUACAGGUCUGUCAUGUGGAAGGAGAGCCGAGGACAUUGUCCUGGGGUUGCGUACAAAGGUCCUCUUUGACCCCUAGGGAGAUGGGCCCACCUAUAAAUUUUUUCCAAGUCCCCAUACAUUUAAGAAAACACACAGGAAUAUGCAAGUAUGGACAAAAGAAGAAUGGUGGCAACUGCCAAAUAAGACAUUCCUAAGGAAACAAUACAUAAGAAAGCACAGUCCACAGGUCCCUGACUGACAGAGGGGUCGUAAUGAAAAUAAAGAUUAGAACUUUUGAACAGUGUAGAAUUUUCAUUUUUGUAUUAAAAAUGCAUCUAAAAAGAAUCACUUGAAAAAUGAUUAAUUCAAGGUCAUAGCCAUAUAUAGAUAACGCUGAGUUAAGAGACUCCAUACAUGCAAAUGCUCCAAAUGUUUUUUUUUUUUUUUCACAAGACAUGAGCAAAUAUCAUGGACUAAUCUUCCUAUUAG
rnacentral:lncRNA from 1 species